GCGCGGAAGCGAGCUGCACAGCUCAACGAGACCGCAAGAAGGACCGGGGGCGGGAGCUCCACCGUGCGCCCACUAGCGCAGUCCCUGGCCAGGAUCCUGACGCUAGUGGGCACAGAUUCGGCACUCGGGGCCCCUGGGGUGCGGGUCCCCGGUGAACCGGGCGACCAGCAGGAGAGGCCAAGCAGCAGCAGGCGCCAGAUGGCAGCUGAGC